rnacentral:rRNA from 1 species
CAGUAGCCGCGGGAAUACGAAGGGUGCAAGCGUUAAUCGGAAUUACUGGGCGUAAAGCGCGCGUAGGUGGUUUGGUAAGAUGGAUGUGAAAUCCCCGGGCUCAACCUGGGAACUGCAUCCAUAACUGCCUGACUAGAGUACGGUAGAGGGUGGUGGAAUUUCCUGUGUAGCGGUGAAAUGCGUAGAUAUAGGAAGGAACACCAGUGGCGAAGGCGACCACCUGGACUGAUACUGACACUGAGGUGCGAAAGCGUGGGGAGCAAACAGGAUUAGAUACCCCCGUAGUCCCUGUCUCUUAUAC